UUGUUUAAUUUAUACUAGUAGGACAAUCUAACAGCAUUUUGCACCUUAAGGUUAUCCUACUUGUUUAAUUUAUACUAGUAGGACAAUCUGACAGCAUUUGGUACAGUCAGGCUAUCCUCCAUGUUUAUUUAUACUAGUAGGACAGUCUGAAAGCAUUUUGCACCUUCAGGUCAUCCUACCUGUUUAAUUUAAACUAGUAGGACAAUCUGACAGCAUUUGGUACAGUCAGGUUAUCCUCCACGUUUAUUUAUACUAGUAGGACAACCUGAAAGCAUUUUGCACCUUCAGGUCAUCCUACAUUUUAAAUUUAUACUAGUAGGGCAAUCUGAAAGCAUUUUGCACUUUCAGGUCAUCCUACCUGUUUAAUCUAUACUAGUAGGACAAUCUGAAAGCAUUUUGCACCUUCAGGUCAUUCUACCUGUUUAAUUAUUACUAGUAGGACAAUCUGAAAGCAUUUUGUACAGUCAGGUUAUCCUCCAUGUUUAUUUAUACUAGUAGGACAAUCUGAAAGCAUUGUGCACCUUCAGGUCAUCCUACCUGUUUAAUUUAAACUAGUAGGACAACCUGGAAGCAUUUUGCACCUUCAGGUCAUCCUACUUGUUUAAUUUAAACUAGUAGGACAACCUGACAGCAUUUCCCACUUCAGGUCAUCCUACCUGUUUAAUUUAUACAUGUAGGACAACCUGAAAGCAUUUUGCACCUUCAGGUCAUCCUACCUGUUUAAUUUAAACUAGUAGGACAAUGUGAAUGCAUUUUGCACUUUCAGGUCAUCCUUCCUGUUUAAUUUAAACUAGCAGUUUAACAGCAGAUGAUAUAGAUCUGCAGAAGAUGAUUGGUUGAUGAACACAGGUAAUCUCCGCACAAACACUUCUUUAAUGUCCCAGAUAUAACAAGAUGAUUAACUUUACUUUCCUUGUAGGUAAACAGAUGAUGACGACGACAGAUAACCACACCUUCAGGUCAUCCUACCUCUUCAAUUUAUACAGGUAGGACAAUCUAAAACAAUUUUGUACAGUCAGGUUAUCCUACCUACUCUGUAGGUUGUACUAUAAUCCCUCCUCUCCUUAAGUACCUAGGGUCUUACUAAACUGGGUGAAUGUUUAUGGUAGGAGAAAUAAUGCAGUGUGUAUAUAAAUCUAUUGUCUUUAUUGUAACAUAUUGUGUAGAUAAUUUGCUGUAUUAAAAAAUAAAGUUGUCCUCCGAAGAGGGGGGGUGGUGGCGGGCCAAAAAAAGUAGGAUAAUCUGAAAGCAUUUUGCACUUUCAGGUCAUCCUACUUGUUUAAUUUAUACUAGUAGGACUAUCUGAAAACAUUUUGCACCUUCAGGUCAUCCUACCUGUUUAACUUAUACUAGUAGGACAAUCUGAAAGCAUUUUGCACCUUCAGGUCAUCCUACCUGUUUAAUUUAUACUAGUAGGACAAUCUGAAAGCAUUUUGCACUUUCAGGUGAUCUUACCUGUUUAAUCUAUACUAGUAGGACAAUCUGACAGCAUUUGGUACAGUCAGGUUAUCCUCCAUGUUUAUUUAUACUAGUAGGACAAUCUGAAAGCAUUUUGCACCUUCAGGACAUCCUACUUGUUUAAUUUAAACUAGUAGGACAACCUGAAAGCAGUUUGCACCUUCAGGUCAUCCUACCUGUUUAUUUUAAACUAGUAGGAGAAUCUGAAAGCAUUUUAUACCUUCACGUCAUCCUACCUGUUUAAUUUAAACUAGUAGGACAUCCUAACAGGAUUUUGCACCUUCAGGUUAUCCUACCUGUUUAAUUUAUACUUAUAGCACAAUCGUGGGCAGUGGGCAGAUGCCUUGCAUCUGCACGGGAAAUGAACGACCCCGCCUUCCACGAGUUUCCUGCUGCCUUGCAGGUUGGCCUUGUCUGGUCAAAGGCUAUGGGAGUAAACCCAAAUAGAAAAUCCGGUAUGGAGACCCGUAUACUAGUAGGACAAUCUGACAGCAUUUUGUACAGUCAGGUCAUCCUACCUCUUUAAUUUAUACUAGUAGGACAAUCUGAAAGCAUUUUGCACUUUCAGGUCAUCUUACCUGUUUAAUCUAUACUAGUAGGACAAUCUGAAAGCAUUUUGCACCUUCAGGUCAUCCUACCUGUUUAACUUAUAAUAGUAGGACAAUCUGAAAGCAUUUUGCACCUUCAGGUCAUUCUACCUGUUUAAUUUAUACUAGUAGGACAAUCUGAAAGCAUUUUGUACAGUCAGGUUAUCCUACUCUGUAGGUUGUACUAUAAUUCCUCCUUUUCUUAUGUACCCAGGGUCUUACCAAACUGGGUGAAUGGUUAUGGUAGGUCAAAUAAUGCAGUGUGUAUAUUAAUCUAUUGUCUUCAUUGUAACAUAUUGUGUAGAUAAUUUGCUGUAUUAAAAAAUAAAGUUGUCCUCCGAAGAGGGGGGGUGGUGGCGGGCCAAAAAAGUAGGAUAAUCUGAAAGCAUUUUGCAUUUUCCGGUCAUCCUACUUGUUUAAUUUAUACUAGUAGGACAAUCUAACAGCAUUUUGCACCUUAAGGUUAUCCUACUUGUUUAAUUUAUACUAGUAGGACAAUCUGACAGCAUUUGGUACAGUCAGGCUAUCCUCCAUAUUUAUUUAUACUAGUAGGACAGUCUGAAAGCAUUUUGCACCUUCAGGUCAUCCUACCUGUUUAAUUUAAACUAGUAGGACAAUCUGACAGCAUUUGGUACAGUCAGGUUAUCCUCCACGUUUAUUUAUACUAGUAGGACAACCUGAAAGCAUUUUGCACCUUCAGGUCAUCCUACAUUUUAAAUUAUACUAGUAGGGCAAUCUGAAAGCAUUUUGCACUUUCAGGUCAUCCUACCUGUUUAAUCUAUACUAGUAGGACAAUCUGAAAGCAUUUUGCACCUUCAGGUCAUUCUACCUGUUUAAUUAUUACUAGUAGGACAAUCUGAAAGCAUUUUGUACAGUCAGGUUAUCCUACUCUGUAGGUUGUACUAUAAUUCCUCCUUUUCUUAUGUACCCAGGGUCUUACCAAACUGGGUGAAUGGUUAUGGUAGGUCAAAUAAUGCAGUGUGUAUAUUAAUCUAUUGUCUUCAUUGUAACAUAUUGUGUAGAUAAUUUGCUGUAUUAAAAAAUAAAGUUGUCCUCCGAAGAGGGGGGGUGGUGGCGGGCCAAAAAAGUUGGAUAAUCUGAAAGCAUUUAGCAUUUUCCGGUCAUCCAACUUGUUUAAUUUAUACUAGUAGGACAAUCUAACAGCAUUUUGCACCUUCAGGUCAUCCUACUUGUUUAAUUUAUACUAGUAGGACAAUCUGACAGCAUUUGGUACAGUCAGGAUAUCCUCCAUGUUUAUUUAUACUAGUAGGACAAUCUGAAAGCAUUGUGCACCUUCAGGUCAUCCUACCUGUUUAAUUUAAACUAGUAGGACAACCUGAAAUCAUUUUGCACCUUCAGGUCAUCCUACCUGUUUAAUUUAAACUAGUAGGACAUCCUAACAGAUUUUGCACCUUCAGGUUAUCCUACCUGUUUAAUUCAUACUAAUAGCACAAUCGUGGGCAGUGGGCAGAUGCCUCGCAUCUGCACGGGAAAUGAACGACCCCGCCUUCCACGAGUUUCCUGCUGCCUUGCAGGUGGGCCUUGUCUGGUCAAAGGCUAUGGAGAGUAAAUCCAAAUAGAAAAUCCGGUACUUUAAUUUAUACUAGUAGGACAAUCUGAAAGCAUUUUGCACUUUCAGGUCAUCCUACCUGUUUAAUUUAUACUAGUAGGACAAUCUGACAGCAUUUGGUACAGUCAGGUUAUCCUCCAUGUUUAUUUAUACUAGUAGGACAAUCUGAAAGCAUUGUGCACCUUCAGGUCAUCCUACCUGUUUAAUUUAAACUAGUAGGACAACCUGGAAGCAUUUUGCACCUUCAGGUCAUCCUACUUGUUUAAUUUAAACUAGUAGGACAACCUGACAGCAUUUCCCACUUCAGGUCAUCCUACCUGUUUAAUUUAUACAUGUAGGACAACCUGAAAGCAUUUUGCACCUUCAGGUCAUCCUACCUGUUUAAUUUAAACUAGUAGGACAAUGUGAAUGCAUUUUGCACUUUCAGGUCAUCCUUCCUGUUUAAUUUAAACUAGCAGUUUAACAGCAGAUGAUAUAGAUCUGCAGAAGAUGAUUGGUUGAUGAACACAGGUAAUCUCCGCACAAACACUUCUUUAAUGUCCCAGAUAUAACAAGAUGAUUAACUUUACUUUCCUUGUAGGUAAACAGAUGAUGACGACGACAGAUAACCACACCUUCAGGUCAUCCUACCUCUUCAAUUUAUACAGGUAGGACAAUCUAAAACAAUUUUGUACAGUCAGGUUAUCCUACCUACUCUGUAGGUUGUACUAUAAUCCCUCCUCUCCUUAAGUACCUAGGGUCUUACUAAACUGGGUGAAUGUUUAUGGUAGGAGAAAUAAUGCAGUGUGUAUAUAAAUCUAUUGUCUUUAUUGUAACAUAUUGUGUAGAUAAUUUGCUGUAUUAAAAAAUAAAGUUGUCCUCCGAAGAGGGGGGGUGGUGGCGGGCCAAAAAAAGUAGGAUAAUCUGAAAGCAUUUUGCACUUUCAGGUCAUCCUACUUGUUUAAUUUAUACUAGUAGGACUAUCUGAAAACAUUUUGCACCUUCAGGUCAUCCUACCUGUUUAACUUAUACUAGUAGGACAAUCUGAAAGCAUUUUGCACCUUCAGGUCAUCCUACCUGUUUAAUUUAUACUAGUAGGACAAUCUGAAAGCAUUUUGCACUUUCAGGUGAUCUUACCUGUUUAAUCUAUACUAGUAGGACAAUCUGACAGCAUUUGGUACAGUCAGGUUAUCCUCCAUGUUUAUUUAUACUAGUAGGACAAUCUGAAAGCAUUUUGCACCUUCAGGACAUCCUACUUGUUUAAUUUAAACUAGUAGGACAACCUGAAAGCAGUUUGCACCUUCAGGUCAUCCUACCUGUUUAUUUUAAACUAGUAGGAGAAUCUGAAAGCAUUUUAUACCUUCACGUCAUCCUACCUGUUUAAUUUAAACUAGUAGGACAUCCUAACAGGAUUUUGCACCUUCAGGUUAUCCUACCUGUUUAAUUUAUACUUAUAGCACAAUCGUGGGCAGUGGGCAGAUGCCUUGCAUCUGCACGGGAAAUGAACGACCCCGCCUUCCACGAGUUUCCUGCUGCCUUGCAGGUUGGCCUUGUCUGGUCAAAGGCUAUGGGAGUAAACCCAAAUAGAAAAUCCGGUAUGGAGACCCGUAUACUAGUAGGACAAUCUGACAGCAUUUUGUACAGUCAGGUCAUCCUACCUCUUUAAUUUAUACUAGUAGGACAAUCUGAAAGCAUUUUGCACUUUCAGGUCAUCUUACCUGUUUAAUCUAUACUAGUAGGACAAUCUGAAAGCAUUUUGCACCUUCAGGUCAUCCUACCUGUUUAACUUAUAAUAGUAGGACAAUCUGAAAGCAUUUUGCACCUUCAGGUCAUUCUACCUGUUUAAUUUAUACUAGUAGGACAAUCUGAAAGCAUUUUGUACAGUCAGGUUAUCCUACUCUGUAGGUUGUACUAUAAUUCCUCCUUUUCUUAUGUACCCAGGGUCUUACCAAACUGGGUGAAUGGUUAUGGUAGGUCAAAUAAUGCAGUGUGUAUAUUAAUCUAUUGUCUUCAUUGUAACAUAUUGUGUAGAUAAUUUGCUGUAUUAAAAAAUAAAGUUGUCCUCCGAAGAGGGGGGGUGGUGGCGGGCCAAAAAAGUUGGAUAAUCUGAAAGCAUUUAGCAUUUUCCGGUCAUCCAACUUGUUUAAUUUAUACUAGUAGGACAAUCUAACAGCAUUUUGCACCUUCAGGUCAUCCUACUUGUUUAAUUUAUACUAGUAGGACAAUCUGACAGCAUUUGGUACAGUCAGGAUAUCCUCCAUGUUUAUUUAUACUAGUAGGACAAUCUGAAAGCAUUGUGCACCUUCAGGUCAUCCUACCUGUUUAAUUUAAACUAGUAGGACAACCUGAAAUCAUUUUGCACCUUCAGGUCAUCCUACCUGUUUAAUUUAAACUAGUAGGACAUCCUAACAGAUUUUGCACCUUCAGGUUAUCCUACCUGUUUAAUUCAUACUAAUAGCACAAUCGUGGGCAUUGGGCAGAUGCCUCGCAUCUGCACGGGAAAUGAACGACCCCGCCUUCCACGAGUUUCCUGCUGCCUUGCAGGUGGGUCUUGUCUGGUCAAAGGCUAUGGAGAGUAAAUCCAAAUAGAAAAUCCGGUACUUUAAAUUAUACUAGUAGGACAAUCUGAAAGCAUUUUGCACCUUAAGGUUAUCCUACUUGUUUAAUUUAUACUAGUAGGACAAUCUGACAGCAUUUGAUACAGUCAGGCUAUCCUCCAUGUUUAUUUAUACUAGUAGGACAGUCUGAAAGCAUUUUGCACCUUCAGGUCAUCCUACCUGUUUAAUUUAAACUAGUAGGACAAUCUGAAAGCAUUUUGCACCUUCAGGUCAUCCUACAUUUUAAAUUUAUACUAGUAGGGCAAUCUGAAAGCAUUUUGCACUUUCAGGUCAUCCUACCUGUUUAAUCUAUACUAGUAGGACAAUCUGAAAGCAUUUUGCACUUUCAGGUCAUCCUACCUGUUUAAUUUAUACUAGUAGGACAAUCUGACAGCAUUUUGUACAGUCAGGUUAUCCUACUCUGUAGGUUGUACUAUAAUUCCUCCUUUUCUUAUGUACCCAGGGUCUUACCAAACUGGGUGAAUGGUUAUGGUAGGUCAAAUAAUGCAGUGUGUAUAUUAAUCUAUUGUCUUCAUUGUAACAUAUUGUGUAGAUAAUUUGCUGUAUUAAAAAAUAAAGUUGUCCUCCGAAGAGGGGGGUGGUGGCAGGCCAAAAAAGUAGGAUAAUCUGAAAGCAUUUAGCAUUUUCCGGUCAUCCUACUUGUUUAAUUUAUACUAGUAGGACAAUCUUACAGCAUUUUGCACCUUCAGGUCAUCCUACUUGUUUAAUUUAUACUAGUAGGACAAUCUGACAGCAUUUGGUACAGUCAGGUUAUCCUCCAUGUUUAUUUAUACUAGUAGGACAACCUGACAGCAUUUCCCACUUCAGGUCAUCCUACCUGUUUAAUUUAUACAUGUAGGACAACCUGAAAGCAUUUUGCACCUUCAGGUCAUCCUACCUGUUUAAUUUAAACUAGUAGGACAACCUGACAGCAUUUCCCACUUCAGGUCAUCCUACCUGUUUAAUUUAUACAUGUAGGACAACCUGAAAGCAUUUUGCACCUUCAGGUCAUCCUUCCUGUUUAAUUUAAACUAGCAGUUUAACAGCAGAUGAUAUAGAUCUGCAGAAGAUGAUUGGUUGAUGAACACAGGUAAUCUCCGCACAAACACUUCUUUAAUGUCCCAGAUAUAACAAGAUGAUUAACUUUACUUUCCUUGUAGGUAAACAGAUGAUGACGACGACAGAUAACCACACCUUCAGGUCAUCCUACCUCUUCAAUUUAUACAGGUAGGACAAUCUAAAACAAUUUUGUACAGUCAGGUUAUCCUACCUACUCUGUAGGUUGUACUAUAAUCCCUCCUCUCCUUAAGUACCUAGGGUCUUACUAAACUGGGUGAAUGUUUAUGGUAGGAGAAAUAAUGCAGUGUGUAUAUAAAUCUAUUGUCUUUAUUGUAACAUAUUGUGUAGAUAAUUUGCUGUAUUAAAAAAUAAAGUUGUCCUCCGAAGAGGGGGGGUGGUGGCGGGCCAAAAAAAGUAGGAUAAUCUGAAAGCAUUUUGCACUUUCAGGUCAUCCUACUUGUUUAAUUUAUACUAGUAGGACUAUCUUGAAAACAUUUUGCACCUUCAGGUCAUCCUACCUGUUUAACUUAUACUAGUAGGACAAUCUGAAAGCAUUUUGCACCUUCAGGUCAUCCUACCUGUUUAAUUUAUACUAGUAGGACAAUCUGAAAGCAUUUUGCACUUUCAGGUGAUCUUACCUGUUUAAUCUAUACUAGUAGGACAAUCUGACAGCAUUUGGUACAGUCAGGUUAUCCUCCAUGUUUAUUUAUACUAGUAGGACAAUCUGAAAGCAUUUUGCACCUUCAGGACAUCCUACUUGUUUAAUUUAAACUAGUAGGACAACCUGAAAGCAGUUUGCACCUUCAGGUCAUCCUACCUGUUUAUUUUAAACUAGUAGGAGAAUCUGAAAGCAUUUUAUACCUUCACGUCAUCCUACCUGUUUAAUUUAAACUAGUAGGACAUCCUAACAGGAUUUUGCACCUUCAGGUUAUCCUACCUGUUUAAUUUAUACUUAUAGCACAAUCGUGGGCAGUGGGCAGAUGCCUUGCAUCUGCACGGGAAAUGAACGACCCCGCCUUCCACGAGUUUCCUGCUGCCUUGCAGGUUGGCCUUGUCUGGUCAAAGGCUAUGGGAGUAAACCCAAAUAGAAAAUCCGGUAUGGAGACCCGUAUACUAGUAGGACAAUCUGACAGCAUUUUGUACAGUCAGGUCAUCCUACCUCUUUAAUUUAUACUAGUAGGACAAUCUGAAAGCAUUUUGCACCUUCAGGUCAUCCUACCUGUUUAAUUUAUACUAGUAGGACAAUCUGAA